CUCGCAUAUAUACAAUUAACCAAGCAUCAUAUUAAUUACAAGGACACAAAAUAAAUUUGUACAACAUCACCAAUAAUUAAAGUUUGAAAAGAAAAUGAAAAUAAAUUUUGAAAGCCUUGAAUAUCUCCAAUGGCUCAUUGAUCAAUCUCAUUUGAUUCUUGUUCUUUUCAAUGCAAACAAAUAAUAAAUGAAAGUGAUUAUGGAUGUAUUCUGUAACAAAUUCGAAGCUUUGAAAAGAAUUAAUAUCGAUUGAGGUUCCCCCCGUGGCUUUUCUCCUUUUCAAGAAUAAUGAGAUUUGUAACCCUAAGAGCCUUCUUGUCUUGAAUAAUACUUGUAGAUUGAAUCCCCAAUUCUUCUUCGAUUGUAGGAUGAAAAUAAGCAUUUAUUUGCCUCAAGAUCAGGCCAAAAAUCGUAACUUAGUUGCUUUCCAAAUAAAAUUAGAGAAAAACAAGGAAAUCAAAUUUAUUUUGCAAUCCAAAUAAUCUUCAAUUUGCUCCGAAUAAAUCCCAAUUAAGCUUUAAAAUACAAUUUUCAAGUCAAUUGCAUCCAAGUUGGAAUUUUACCUAUAACUAACAUGUUUACACAAAUUAAAAUAGAUAUCCUCUCAAUAUAACAAUAAAUAAUUAAUAAUAGAAAUUCACAUAAGUGUGUAAUAUGAAUUUAUCAUACACAUAAUAAUCAAACAUUCAACCUUUUAUUAAUGUAUAAAUAGACUAAUUCUUGUAAUCGAGACAAGAUCUCUUGACUGCAGGGGUAGGGAUCUUGGGUAGAGAGGGACAGCCUUAAGAUUUGAAGAUUAUGAAUGAAUACAUUAUCAAGGAAAAUUCCUUAACUCAAGCCAAAGACAAGGAAGAUGAUUCUUAGGUUCAAAUCAAGGAUAAUCUUAAAAUGUAUCAAGCACCAGUAAAACAAAGCAAGCUGCACAAAUCAAGCAUUUAGAAUGAGCGUGGAAAAUUCUCAUUGACUUGAGCAUUUAGAAAUUAAACUUAACUUACAAUUUUAUUAUGGCAUUAGACUUGCAAACUUUAACGACAAUUGAUCUACUUUCCAGAAAUAGCUUUCUCCCACAACAUCAACACCCCUGACUUCUUCCCUAACCCAGCCACCCUUUCCAACUGAUAAGCCCUUGAUUGUUCUCAACAUUUCUACUCAGAUUAAUGGGAAGCUAACACCCUCAAUCUUUCCACAAUGGCGUGCCCAAUUUGAAGCCUUCUUCAUCGACUAUGACAAAGAGGGAGGAAAUAC
rnacentral:lncRNA from 1 species